AACGAACGCUGGCGGCAGGCCUAACACAUGCAAGUCGAACGAGACCUUCGGGUCUAGAGGCGGACGGGUGAGUAACGCGUGGGAAUAUGCCUCUAGGUACGGAAUAACAUCGGGAAACGGGGAGUAAUACCGGAUGAGCUCUUGGGGGGAAAGAUUUAUCGCCAUGAGAUGAGCCCGCGUUGGAUUAGGUAGUUGGUGGGGUAAAGGCCUACCAAGCCGACGAUCCAUAGCUGGUCUGAGAGGAUGAUCAGCCACACUGGGACUGAGACACGGCCCAGACUCCUACGGGAGGCAGCAGUGGGGAAUCUUGGACAAUGGGGGCAACCCUGAUCUAGCCAUGCCGCGUGAGUGAUGAAGGCCUUAGGGUUGUAAAGCUCUUUUAGCUGGGAUGAUAAUGACGGUACCAGCAGAAGAAGCCCCGGCUAACUCCGUG
rnacentral:rRNA from 1 species